rnacentral:tRNA from 1 species
GCGGGUAUACCUCAGAGGCAGAGCACAUGCUUAGCAUGCAUGAGGUCCUGGGUUCCAUCCCCAGUACCUCCA